rnacentral:tRNA from 1 species
GGCAGUGUGGCCUAGUGGUUAGGGCACCAGGCUAGGAUGCAGCAGGGGUGGGUUCUAGUCCCAGCUCUGCCC